rfam:Ciona savignyi cont_50649, whole genome shotgun sequence.
GCUUAUCACCAUUCCAGAUUGAAUAUACCCGAUCUCGUCUGAUCUCGGAAGUCAAGCAAUCUCGGGCUUGGUUAGUACUUGGA